rnacentral:lncRNA from 1 species
AUAAUCAAUCCAGCAGUAGAUUAUUGUGCUCUACCAAUGUCAUAACGUAUAUUUUUGGUACUUCCAUGCAUGCAAGUGAUUAAAUGUUUUCUCCGGGAGGUAACUCUGCAAGCUUUGAUGGUGUACCAAGCACUCUUUCCAUAUCAAAUCGAACUUCAAUGUUGCGAAUGCUGUAUCCAACCACCAUUAGCCAAUAAAGCAGUUUGGCAAGUUCUGCUGCACUGGUCUCUGUUAUGCUUGUCUGUGACCAGAAAUGAAGUUUGAAAAAAUUCAAAACUGAAAUUUAUUUCAACAAACAUUAAGUUCAAAAACAAGAACAAGUGCAGUUACUUGCAUCAACCCUUUAAAAAAAGCUCGAUGCAUAAAACUUUCCAAUUAACAUCCAGGUGU